GACGAACGCUGGCGGCGUGCUUAACACAUGCAAGUCGAGCGAUGAAGUUCUUUCGGGAACGGAUUAGCGGCGGACGGGUGAGUAACACGUGGGUAACCUGCCUCAUAGAGGGGAAUAGCCUUCCGAAAGGAAGAUUAAUACCGCACAAGAUUGUAGUAUCGCAUGAUACAGCAAUUAAAGGAGUAAUCCGCUAUGAGAUGGACCCGCGUCGCAUUAGCUAGUUGGUGAGGUAACGGCCCACCAAGGCGACGAUGCGUAGCCGACCUGAGAGGGUGAUCGGCCACAUUGGGACUGAGACACGGCCCAGACUCCUACGGGAGGCAGCAGUGGGGAAUAUUGCACAAUGGGGGAAACCCUGAUGCAGCAACGCCGCGUGAGUGAUGACGGUCUUCGGAUUGUAAAGCUCUGUCUUCAGGGACGAUAAUGACGGUACCUGAGGAGGAAGCCACGGCUAACUACGUGCCAGCAGCCGCCGUAAUAC
rnacentral:rRNA from 1 species